UACGUAGGGGGCUAGCGUUGUCCGGAAUCAUUGGGCGUAAAGCGCGCGUAGGCGCCAGAUAAGUCCGGUGUGAAAGUCACAGGCUCAACCUGUGAAUGCCGCUGGAAACUGUCUGGCUAGAGUCCGGAAGGGGCGAGUGGAAUUCCUGGUGUAGCGGUGGAAAUGCGUAGAUAUCGAGAGGAACACCUGCGGCGAAGGCGACUUCCUGGCCUGUUCUUGACGCUGAGGCGCGAAAGCUAGGGGAGCAAACGGG
rnacentral:rRNA from 1 species